GAUGAACGCUGGCGGUGUGCCUAAUACAUGCAAGUCGAGCGAACAGACGAGGAGCUUACUCCUCUGACGUUAGCGGCGGACGGGUGAGUAACACGUGGAUAACCUACCUAUAAGACUGGGAUAACUUCGGGAAACCGGAGCUAAUACCGGAUAACAUGUUGAACCGCAUGGUUCAACAGUGAAAGACGGUCUUGCUGUCACUUAUAGAUGGAUCCGCGUCGCAUUAGCUAGUUGGUAAGGUAACGGCUUACCAAGGCAACGAUGCGUAGCCGACCUGAGAGGGGGAGCGGCAACACUGGAACUGAGACACGGUCCAGCCGCCGACGGGAGGAAGCAGUAGGGAGUCUUGCAAAAGGGGCAAAGGCCUGACGGAGCAACUCCGCGUGAGUGAAAAAGGUCUUCGGAUCUUAAACCUGUGUUAUUAGGAAAGAACAAAUGGGUAAGUAACAAUGCACUUCUUGACGGUACCUAAACAGAAAGCACCGGCUAACUCCGUG
rnacentral:rRNA from 1 species